rnacentral:misc_RNA from 1 species
AGUCCUCCCCGACCGCAUCUCCAGACAUCGUCACGAGCAUCUAUUUGUCGUGCUUCUUGUGUCUCGGCAUAUUCUGCACACCCGCGCCUCCUGAAAGUCCCCACCAUCCAAAGGCAGAGACGAUGACGACCAUUACAGAGGCGAUGGUGCUGGAGAAGGAGCGACAGAACGCUGCCAGGCGCGAUGCGCUGAAUAAGCGCAGCCAAAAUGUGUCCCGCUUGGCUGAACCAGAACCUAACUUCCCACCGGAGUGCUGCUGCGUGAAGCCAGUUAUCUACCACAACAUCCGCGAGCAGGUGCCCGUGACGCAGCAGCGUUUCAUGUACAUCCUCGCGGGCCUGUACGUCACGUUGAUGGCCCUCAUCAUCUACAACAUCGUGGCUGCCCUGGUGGCCUUCGCCCUUGGCGGAAGCGCCCUGCACUUUGGUCUUUCCUUUGUGUAUCUGCUGGGACUCCCAGGAGCGUGGAUUUCGUGGUACUACAACGUGUACUGCGCCAUAGUGUACGCGUCGCGCUCGCGGCAGCUGAUUGCUCUGCUGGGUCUUCUUGUAGGCGUCGUUUUCGAUGUGUGGAUGACGAUCGGCAUCACCGGCUUUGGCGGCUGCGGCUGGAUCUACGCCCUCAGCUUGACACGCAAUGUGGCUCCGUUUGUGCUGGUUCUCAUUAGUGCGAUCCUGUGGCCGCUGCACGGCUUUGCGCUGUGCGUGAUGCUCCUGCGUUAUUGGCGCCUUUCGAGGGUACUCUUGAAGAAUACGGCCAACAUCUACCGCCAGAGCAUCAUUUAGCUGUCUGACCUCGUGCCACGUCAGGACAGCGCUUCCCGACCAGUGUACAUUACACUCCACAUAGCAAGAAUUUUUUUUGUCAACGUGCCCAUUUCUCUGCCAUACACGAGCCAAACUCCACUCCGCGUCACCGCCGGCCGGCCACAGGCCUCACCGAGUCCUGCGACGCAGCGCGGCACACACGCUUUGCGGCAACGCGCCGACUCAGCCAUCCGAGAGCACGGCCCCCCUGCCUCAAGCUCCACCGACCUCCUCCCGCCCCCCCGCUGCCUCGCAGGCCGCCUCACAGCCGCUCCCAUCAUGCCGGCCGCCACCUGCGGCAUCCCUCCUCGGAGAGGGAGGGGGUGGCGCUCAGGCUCCCCACACCAGCAGGCGGUGGUGAGGGCCGGGUGACGGAUGCGCUGGAGCCGCGCAGACGCGUCGGCACUGCCGCAGGCCGCUCCGACGCAACGCCAUCCAGGACCUGACACACCGCCGACAUCCGUCGCGAUGCAGCGCACUGGCUUCCCUACGUCGUGGGCACGUGGACCCUGCCAGCACCAGAGGAAGUGCAGCGCUGCAUUGGCAGGGGAUGGAGGAGGGGCUGCUUGGCUUCUUCCCAUGCACACAGAGGGUGAAGGAGGCUACUGGAUCCGGGAUACCUCACACCGGGGUGUGCUUGCCCCCUGCUGUCAUGAAAAUCAACCUAAAGCAGCAGAAACCAAAAAUGCGAAAUGGCGGCUUCAAGCGCACAGGGGCUUUUCGGACCCCCUCUCUUUUAUUGGGUGCUUCAAGUUCUUUGCUGCAUUGUUUGUGGUUUGCGUGGUCGUUCCCGCUUAGUGUGUACUUCUCUUGUUGCGAUUUAGUUGGCCCUGAAGCUGGAACAUCGGUGAUGUGGGUGCUGCGGUGGGGGAUGAGGAGAGAAGAGCAUGGGGACGAUUGAUUCGCCUCGUUGCGGAGUCUGAAGAGGGAGUCUUAACGUCUCACAACCCUUUUUGGUUCCUUGCCGCCUCCGCCCCCCCGCCCUCUCUCCCUUCUAAGCCACACACAUGCGACAUAUGCGCGCCGAUGCGCAUGUGGUGUUAUUAUUUGUUGUUCCCUGUCUGAUCUCAUUCCGCAUUCACCCCGAGCGUGCGUGUGCGUGUGGGUGUGCCUGAUGAGAAACCAUUGCUUCCUGUGCGCUUGCAGCAGCAGUCUUUCCGCAAAUGCAGAGCAAAAAAAAAC